UUUCUUGGAUUUCUGUUGGAUUUCAACAGGACAUUGGAGCAACAAGACAUUGGCCACUGUUGUCCCACUGCUUUACCUGUGGCAGGUU